AUCAACUUUCGAUGGUAGGAUAGAGGCCUACCAUGGUGGUAACGGGUAACGGGGUGUUAGGGCAUGACACCGGAGAGGGAGCCUGAGAAACGGCUACCACAUCCAAGGAUGGCAGCAGGCGCGCAAAUUACCUAAUCCCGACACGGGGAGGUAGUGACAAUAAAUAACAAUACGGGGUUCUUUCGGAUUUCGUAAUUGGAAUGAGUACAAUUUAAAUCUCUUAACGAGGAACAAUUGGAGGGCAAGUCUGGUGCCAGCAGCCGCGGUAAUUCCAGCUCCAAUAGCGUAUAUUAAAGUUGUUGCAGUUAAAAAGCUCGUAGUUGAAUUUCGGGAUCAUCAGGUUGGUCGUGCCUUCGGUAUGUACUUGCUUCGGUGGUCCCACCUUCUUGAAGAACCGUAAUGGCAUUAAUUUGUUGUUGCGGAGAAACAGGACUGUUACUUUGAAAAAAUUAGAGUGUUUAAAGCAGGCAAUCGCUUGAAUACAUUAGCAUGGAAUAAUGAAAUAGGACGUUCGAUCCUAUUUUGUUAGUUUCUAGGAUUGACGUAAUGAUUAAUAGGGAUAGUUGGGGGCAUUAGUAUUCAAUUGUCAGAGGUGAAAUUCUUGGAUUUAUUGAAGACUAACUACUGCGAAAGCAUUUGCCAAGGAUGUUUUCAUUAAUCAAGAACGAAAGUUAGGGGAUCGAAGACGAUCAGAUACCGUCGUAGUCUUAACCAUAAACUAUGCCGACUAGAGAUCGGAUGAUGUUAAUUUUUUAAUGACUCAUUCGGCGCCUUACGGGAAACCAAAGUGUUUGGGUUC
rnacentral:rRNA from 1 species